rnacentral:rRNA from 1 species
CGCCUUGCCAGCCCGCUCAGAAACUCAAAGGAAUUGACGGGGGCCCGCACAAGCGGUGGAGCAUGUGGUUUAAUUCGAUGAUACGCGAGGAACCUUACCUGGGCUCAAAUGUAUGUUGACGUAUUCUGAAAGGGAUACUUCUUCGGACAAUAUACAAGGUGCUGCAUGGUUGUCGUCAGCUCGUGCCGUGAGGUGUCGGGUUAAGUCCCAUAACGAGCGCAACCCCUAUCAUUAGUUGCCAUCAGGUCAAGCUGGGGACUCUAAUGAAACUGCCUACGCAAGUAGUGAGGAAGGUGGGGAUGACGUCAAAUCAGCACGGCCCUUACGUCCAGGGCUACACACGUGCUACAAUGGCCGGUACAAAGGGCAGCUACCUGGUGACAGGAUGCUAAUCUCAAAAGCCGGUCUCAGUUCGGAUCGGAGUCUGCAACCCGACUCCGUGAAGUUGGAGUUGCUAGUAAUCGCGAAUCAGAAUGUCGCGGUGAAUGCGUUCCCGGGUCUU